UUUGGCACAUUUGUUAAGUUUUCAAAUGGGCCUAACUCUGCCACAUAUAUAAUAUCGGAGAUGGCAAAGGCUUGUGACGGAGAUAUCUCUCUUAAGCCUUUCCUGCAUCAGAGAAUGGCUCCCACAUGUGUCAGGCUAUCUCAUAAGUUUAAGUCCUUACAGACAGGCUGACACAGGCUUGUCUGGCCUGAGGAUAUUCUG
rnacentral:lncRNA from 1 species